CAAAAUGGUUAAGUAGCCGCCAGUGCGGAUUCUUGAAAAUUCCUAGUAUCCGGAUUCGCCGUCGUCGUCAACCAAGAAAUAGAACGGUACGGUAAGGAUCGUGAUUAUUCGCUAUGUCGAAUACGCAUGGGGAUUCCACGUCAUCGGAUUAUCCGUACCCACGAUGCAAUCCGCGUCUAAACGUUCGAGCAAAGUGAGAACGGUUGAUUAUAAAUUAUGGUAGCGCGGCGGGUAGAAUGCCGUCUCUCGUCCCACGAAUCUCAUGUCGAACCUGAACCAGACGCCGUCCGAGGAGGCCACGCUGCUAGCCCGGGGUUACAAGCUGAUGAAGAAGCUCGGCGAAGGCUGUUAUGCAAAAGUGUACUUAGCCGAGUACAAGCCGGAACACGAGUCGGAGAAGAACAGCACCUUGGCCUGCAAGGUGAUCGACACCGUGAAUGCACCAAAAGAUUUCGUCCGCAAGUUCCUGCCGCGCGAACUGGACAUUCUGGUGAAGCUGAACCAUCCGCACCUCGUGCACGUUCACAGCAUUUUCCAGAGGCGCACCAAGUACUUCAUAUUCAUGCGCUUGGCUGAGCACGGCGAUCUGCUUGAUUUUAUACUGAAGAACGGCGCGGUGGCGGAGAGUCAGGCCCGCGUGUGGUUCCGGCAGCUCGCUUUAGGUCUCCAGUAUCUACAUGAGAUGGAAAUAGCGCAUCGCGACAUCAAGUGCGAGAACGUUCUCCUCACGUCGAAUUACAACGUCAAGCUGGCGGACUUUGGCUUCGCUCGUUGCAUGAUCGACAGCCGUGGCAAGCGCGUCCUGAGCGACACGUACUGCGGCUCGCUGUCGUACGUGGCGCCGGAGAUCCUCCGCGGUUACCCGUACAACCCGAAGAUAUCCGACAUAUGGUCGCUGGGCGUGAUCCUCUACAUACUGUUGAACAAGGCCAUGCCGUUCGACGAGGACAAUAUAAAGCGGCUGUACGAGCUGCAGAUAGCGCGCAAGUGGAAAUUCCGCAGCAAAGUGAUGGGCAGUCUGACCGAUCACGUGAAGAAGCUCGUGACCAACCUGCUCGAGCCGGAAGUGUCGAAACGCUGGCGUUUGGAUCAGAUCGUACAGAGCGACUGGAUCGCCAUGGAUCCGCGCCUUCUGGUGCUCACGCCAGCGGAGCAGAUCGCGCUGAACAACGCGAUCGAGGAGCGCAAGAGAUACGAGGAGAAGUUCUCGAAGAGGGAACCGGUACGGGCGGAGAGCCCAAUCGUACAAUCGUUGCUCCUAAGCAUUCUUUAUAAGUCCAAGUGCCUUUUAGUGUCGUUUCCGUCGUAUAUCAUGCUUAUGAUGCGCAGAAUGAUGCUGGUCAUGCACUUGGCGUACACGCGCAUCUUGUUGUACAUUCGAUUGCGAGACUAAACCGGAAUAAUUUUGCGAAACGCGCUUUUGCCGUCGAGCGUAUCGACUUUCUUACGUUUCGUAGAUCAAGUCUAUAAUUAGGGAGAGCACGCGAGUGAUGUCACAAAAUUACGAAAGUGACUGAUUUUCAGAGACGACACAAAAUCGAGGAGACAAAAAAGAACGAAGAGCACAAAAACCACGAAUUGGAAGAGAUCAUGGUUCUCAAAGACGUCACGAAAGCGACAGUUUCCACGGUAAUACCCAUCAAAGUUUAACUUAAAAAUUGGCCCUUCCUGAUCUCCGUAAUAU